UCUCCAUUCACUUCAGAGUCCCACACACUCAAGGACCUGUGCAGACUGCUGCAAGACACGCUCUGAAUAGCAGCACUACCCGGACAACUUUCUCCCUUGUGGUUUUCUAAGAGGAUCUGCUCGUUUGGAUUAUAUUCUUCUAGGACUAUUAAACGCUAUUUUAGAAACAGUCGUUGGUUUAAUUAUAACAGCUGCGCGUCUUUUUUGAUAUUUCAGUGAAUCGGACUUAAGUUUUAAACCUGUUUUGUAGAUGGUGAAGGACAAGUGCAAUGCGCUUCAGACUUGUCUCUUGGGAUUGUCCCACUUUCGCCUAAGGAGCUAUGUCGAUCUGCCGCACUGAUCUUGUUCAAGAGGACGCAGUCCAAUGUGAAUAACAAGAGUCAACUUCCAGCCUCUUCAGAUUUUCACAGCUUCAAGCAAGUGCAGCACGGAGUCUGACUGAGCCCGCUGACACCCUGAUUUCUGCCCCCGAGGGGAUGGUUGUGGAUCCUGUGGGGCCAGGAGCGAUUCUGCGGCUCCUACAGAACAGCACAUUUUUCUUGUUCGUGGUUAGAUCUAAAUUACAGGGAGAUGAGACCCGCACUUUGUUACUUCCUGCUGUGGACGACGUACCUGCUGCUGGCCAGCUCUGAGGAAGUGGAGUUUCCCCAGGAGCUGAUAGACAGACUGUCCCACAGUGAAAUCCACAGCAUCAGCGACCUCCAGCGGCUACUGGACAUUGAAUCCGUAGGUGCGGGAAACAAUGUUAUCGAGGAGCCCAAGCACCACAAGCACCACAACCCCCACAAGAACUACUCCCGUCAACAUGGUUACUACAAUGACCUGAAGAGCUCCCAGCUUCACAGCCGACGCAAGAGGAGCAUUGCAGAGGAGGCGGUCCCGGCGGUGUGUAAGACGCGGACAGUGAUCUACGAGAUCCCCAGGAGUCAGGUGGAUUCCACGUCUGCCAACUUCCUGAUAUGGCCGCCCUGUGUGGAGGUGAAGCGCUGCACAGGCUGCUGCAACACAAGCAACAUGCGCUGUCACCCUUCCCGCAAGCACCACCGCACCGUUAAGGUAGCAAAGGUGGAGUACGUGAGGAGGAAACCCAAGCUGAAAGAGGUCUUUGUGCGGUUAGAAGACCAUCUGGAAUGUGUGUGCACGUCGCAACAUCACGUUGUGGAGCACUCAGAUGCAGAAACAGGCCACCGUAGGGCUAAAGGUAAAAAAAGGAAACCUAAAAAGCUAAGGCCCAGCAAGGAUUUAUUGGCGACAUAAUAAAGUUGCACUCAAUACCCAAAGUCCACUGGAGAGCUGUGAAGUGAACAGUGGACGUGAGGUGAGACCAAUCAGAACAAGGGACUUCAGCGUGGGAGGGACCUAAAUAGUGGAUGCCACCAACAGGACACCUGCUCUGUCCUUUUCCCCAUUGCCAUGCAACCUUUGUUUUAAAAAAACAAAAAAAAAUUCUGCUAAGACAACAGACUGAAAAAAAGACAACAGACACAAAUAAACCAUACCAAAGGUGCUUUGUUAAAAACAGUAACCAGUGAUGAUGACUUCCUCUGUGGUACGCCACCUAACCGACAACUGAACCCUGCCGCUGAUUAAGAGAGAAAGAUGCUGUAGCCCGGGCAAGGCAGGAAGAGGCCGAAGGGAGAUGAUGAAAGGGAUUUGUGUUGAACAUUUGAGACUUUCUUUGAAGAAGACACACAACAGAAAUGGCUAUGAAACUGUUGGAUCAAGCUUUCGUGGGAAUCUGGUGCACAGACUCCAAAACAGCGGUGGAUGACCUCCAGCUGGGCAACAUUAAAGUGCCCUGCCCUGUUUAAAUGACUUUUUUCAUACAUCGUAAGAAAAAAAGAGAGAUAUAGGAACAAAAAACAUUGGAAAGAGAGAAAGAGAGAGACACAUGGAGGUGUUUGCUUUUUCAAAAGACUCUAUGGAUUAUCAAACAUUUUUUAGUAUUUGGAUGUUUGCUCUGAUUUAAGAAGAGAUCUUCUCCGAGACCCUUGUGAUCUGUGACUUUGCCCACUCUGCUAUGUACAGUUAAAUUUGAAAAGGACGAUGCGCCGCUACUUACAAACUAUUUAUAUGUGUGGCCGUUUGCCUUCUAUCUCUUCCAGUACAAAAAUAAAUAACAAAAAAUAUGUUUAAAUGAUUUUGAAGACAUGCAAGAAUUCAGGUUUUUGUAGCCAUCAGUUUCACAAUCUCAACGUCAUUUGUUUUUUUUAGUCAAUGUCAUUGUUGUCAUCCAUGUUUCUUAUUAUAUUACAGUAUAUCUGAAUGAUGUCAAGUCUUGUAAAUGGUUUGGAUAUAUGUAUGAAAGGAGGAGAUGUGAGAGUCAGUACAGGAAGAUGCUUUAUUUUUGUUAUGAAAUACAUUAAGCUUACUUAUAUCCGAGCAGGAAUUAUGCUUAUUUCUUUUGUUGUGGUUGAAUGCCUGUAUUUAAUCCAUUGGAAGAGAUGCAAAAAUGUGGGCAGGGGGGUAAGAUAGAAGUGGGUCUGCCAGUGUUUGUUGCAUCAGAGGCGUGAAGACACAAACAUGGCAAUAUGUUACAAGUGGCAUUUCACAAAAGCUUUCAUACAGCACAUUUAACUGGAGCAAUUAUUGUGCACCUGAAUCAUAUCCUAACCAAUAAUGAGUUAGGAUAGACAUAUUUGUUCUCUUACACAAGCCUUAAUUUAAUCCAUUACACUCUGAACACUGAUAAGAAAGAUUCCUGCCCGCUCUGCUUAGCAACCACACAUGUUUUUCACGCAAUGAGCAAAGUCCACCUUAAAGAGUGAAUGAGCAAGCAAAGCAAAUCGACAAGCGCAUGAAUGGGUUCCUUGUUUGGUUAGGCCUUACUCCUCUGUUGACAGGAGAACAAAUCUCAGAUCGUUACACCCUGUGAAGGUACUCACACAUUAUACCGCCACAUACCAUGGGGACAGAUGAUGAUGAGUGCUCUGAAGCAGCCUGAAAACAGUACAGUGCUGACCUGAACCCGUGCCCCGAUGGAACAAACAAUAACUUCCCUAACAGUUCCCUGUAACGGGGACAAAUGUGUAACCAGGCCAACACAGUACAACAACAACAACGGUCAGACAGUGUUCAAAUGAGGAAAUGAAAGGCGAGAGAGUGAUUAGUGCAAGUCAAAAGAUAAAGUUUAAAAGAAAAGAUGGCAGAUUUCUCACACACACACACACACACACACACACACACACACACACACAGCUUAACUAGCUAUCAGUUUAUUGGUGCUAUAUUUAUAAGGCUGAUGUGUCAUCACAUUUACAUUACUGUAAAAUAGUGUUCUCAGUUAACAAGGGACCACGCUUAAAGUGAUUUGAUUAAAGAAAAUACCAUUCCCCUAUCUCUAAGCGUUCAUUACUUUUUUUUUAGGACUUUCCUUGAAUAAAGACAUCAAUAAUCAUAAUUUAUAUAUUUAUGUUUUCAACAAUAAAUAUAUUUCUGGCUAAGGAAUUGUU